rnacentral:sRNA from 1 species
AUUCUGCCCAAGCGGGGAAGGAUGAGAAGCUUCGACCAAGGUUCGACUUGAGCGCCAGCGAGAGAGCGUUGCCGCAGGCAACGACCCGAAGGGCGAAGCGCGCAGCGCUGAGUAUCCUUCCCCCACCACCA